CCGCCCGUAUACCAGUUGUCGUGCCAACGGCAUAAGCUGGGUAGCGGUGCUCGGUAGGGAUAAACGCUGAAAGCAUCUAAGCGUGAAACCCGCCCCAAGAUAAGGUUUCCCUGGACUUAAUUGUCCCUAAAGGCCCCCGGAAGACUACCGGGUUGAUAGGUCAGAUGUGUAAGCAUAGUAAUAUGUUCAGCUAACUGAUACUAAUCGGCCGUGAGGCUUGGCCUU
rnacentral:rRNA from 1 species